CCUAUAAAGCUGCCCCUCUCCUAUCUCCCUUCGCUGACUCUCUUUUCAGACUCAGCCCACUUGCACCCAAGUGAAUUAACAGCCUUGUUGCUCACACAAAGCCUGUUUAGGUGGUCUUCUAUACGGACAUGCUUGACACUUGGUGCCAAAAUCUGGGCCAGGGGGACUCCUUCGUGAGACCGGCCCCCUGUCCUGGCCCUCAUUCCGUGAAGAGAUCCACCUGCGACCUCGGGUCCUCAGACCAGCCCAAGGAACAUCUCACCAAUUUCAAAUCGGAUCUCCUCGGCUUAGUGGCUGAAGACUGAUGCUGCCCGAUCGCCUCAGAAGCCCCUUGGACCAUCACAGAUGCCGAGCUUCGGGUAACUCUUACGGUGGAGGGACCCUCUCCAUUGGGUUCACCAUUCCAGAAUAAAGCCAUGCCCAUCAGACAGCCAGCUUGAUCUCUCCUCUUCCUCCUGGAAGCCACAAGAUUAGGCCGAGAGCCGAUCAGACAAACAACCUACAACCCUUAAGCUCCUGGCAGCGCCCAGCCAAGGCCAUGCUUCCUUGCAACACUCCUUCCAAAUGGCCAUCCCAGCAUGCUUCCAAGCAGGCUUCAUCCGUUCCUCUGGACCCUCAUCUCUUAAGACCUGCCGCCUAUAAAAAGGAUUAUAUCUUGAGACCCUAUCCUCUAAAAUUUUUUCCACACCCAAAACAAAAAAUCUCUGGGUCAAAAGUCUAAAACGCUUAGGCUGGCAACCAUCAGAUCCUUGCCCAUGGUGUCCUCAAGCCUACUCUCAUGAAAUGGACAACAGUACACGCAUAUGGGGCCAGUUCCACAUAUUUGGCAACCAGACCAGCAUCCAGGACAACACAAAGUAUGUUGUUUGUUGUUAGAGGGCUUGGGACAUUUCACUCUUUGCCAGCCUCAGCUUAAUCCAGGAGACAAAGAUUAUUUUCCUUAUUAUCUCUUCUGCAUAGGAUCUGCAAUCAGAACUAUUGAACUUCUCCAUUCAGACCGCCACUCACACCUAUGGGAAAAGGGUAAUGUAUCAUCGGCUUAGCAACAGGGAAUACUAUUCGUAUGAUGGAAAAUGGGGACAAAAGGCUUUGGUACAUAAAACAUUAUUCCUUCCUUGGCCUAAAAACUCAUCGCCACCUACAUUAAAGCUAAUAUGCCUGAUUACUGUUUUUAGAGAACUUAUUUUAUUAGGGCAGUUCCAAGCUCAAAAAUACGCUAACUGGCACCUUGUUAGCUACAUAAAAAUGCACCCUAGACCCGAAACUUACUAGACUCAUUAUAAAAUUUUCUUUAAGGUGUCCACGCAGUCCCUGGUCACACUUGAAGCAGUCCGGAGAAAUAUCAGCCCUACCCCAGUAAUCCCCAGAAGGAACUUACACUUUUUUUUAAUCUUUUCCUACAACUUCAUAUUUUAUAAAUAAAAAGACAAAAAUGUCAGGCCUGUGAGCUGAAGCUUAGCCAUUGUAACCCCUGUGACCUGCACAUAUCCGUCCAGGUGGCCUGCAGGAGCCAAGAAGUCUGGAGCAGCCGAAAAACCACAAAGAAGUGAAACAGCCAGUUCCUGCCUUAACUAAUUAACCCACCUUACGACAUUCCACCAUUAUGACUUGUCCACCAUUAUGACUUGUUCCUGCCCUGCCCCAACUGAUCAAUCAACCCUGUGACAUUCUUCUCCUGGACAAUGAGUCCCAUCAUCUCUCCACCAUGCACCUUGUGACCCCCUCCUCUGCUGAGGAUAACCACCUUUAACUGUAACUUUCCACGCCUACCCAAGCCCUAUAAAGCUGCCCCUCUCCUAUCUCCCUUCACUGACUCUCUUUUCGGACUCAGCCCACUUGCACCCAAGUGAAUUAACAGCCUUGUUGCUCACACAAAGCCUGAUUGGGUGUCUUCUAUACGGACACGCGUGACAGGAACCUCAACCCAAAGGCAGUCUGAUGAGGUGUCUAAGAUAAAAGUAGCGGCACAAAGGCUUUUGUAAACAGAGGCGUUUCAUGUGGUUUUCCUUUCCUUUCCUUAUAUGUGAAAAGGUGACAGAAAAGAAAUCUUCCUAAAA
ensembl:lncRNA UCA1 urothelial cancer associated 1